UACGUAGGGGGCAAGCGUUAUCCGGAAUUACUGGGUGUAAAGGGUGAGUAGGCGGCAUGGUAAGCCAGAUGUGAAAGCCUUGGGCUUAACCCGAGGAUUGCAUUUGGAACUAUCAAGCUAGAGUACAGGAGAGGAAAGCGGAAUUCCUAGUGUAGCGGUGAAAUGCGUAGAUAUUAGGAAGAACACCAGUGGCGAAGGCGGCUUUCUGGAUUGAAACCGACGCUGAGGCACGAAAGCGUGGGGAGCGAACAGG
rnacentral:rRNA from 1 species